GGAAGGGCCAUAGCUGAGUGGCUGAGCCUCUGCUUUGCAUGCAGAAGGUCCCUGGUUCCAUCUCUGGCAUUUCCA